CUGAAGGAUUCAUCGAAGAAGAUGAUCAAGUUGUUCCUAACUUGAAGUCUCUUAAACGCUUUGCAGCGAUACUCUCUGAUUAUGGUCCUUUCAACCUGAAAUUCAUUCUACCCGAGGAAGGGCAAUUGGGAGUGCUAACAGAAACUGGUUAUCAUGAUGGAGUUUUGGGUCUAAUGCAAGCCGGGAAAGCUGAUAUGUGUUUAUUGCCAUUGUCGCUGGAUACUCAGAAGGCUCCUGGUCAUUUCACUUCUGUCGUAUCAGAAGAAAACUUCUAUAUAUCAAGCAUACGUAAGUCACUAAAGAUUAUGCUGAUAACUAUGAACGGGCUGUUGCUGAAGGGUUCGAGGAACCAUUUCCAUUAGGACCUAUUCCUGUAUUUAAAAGAAGGGAACAGAUGCUCACUUUUGUUUCUGGUGUUGGAAAGAAACUGGGUCCAUUAGCAGCUGAUUCAUCUGAUUUACUCAAACCUAAUCAAGAACAUUACUUCUCAGCAAAACCUUUUCAUAGAUCAUUACAAGCUAUGAUUUUCAGCUAUAACGCUUCCGAAUCCCACCGCAAAAGAAUGAAUACGCUAUCUCGUCGGGCUCUCCAAAGUGGCAUUGUUACAAAAAUGAAAGAAGAUACUUACGUUGACUUUAUACUCUCUUUUUAUCCUGCAACCUUAUACGACUUUCAUAAGUCUGAAGUUCCUCGAAAAGUGAUUGAUCUCAGUUGGAAAUCAUUAAAUUACAGUGGAUUCUAUCAAAUAUUGCAUUUAUUCCUCUUCAUGUUGAUUCUGCCCAUAGUUGUAUUGCUUAUUGAGUUAACCAUUGCUUUCCUCUCUCGAUCCAAUCGAGUGCGACGACAAAAUGUAUCAUUUCAGUGUAAAUAUUGAAUAACUAAAACUAUUAAAAAUCAAUUUGACUAUGAACCUUGCUAGCUCUCUUAAAUUGUAUUACUUGCUAUCAAUUAUAUGUUUGAA